rnacentral:rRNA from 1 species
CCUACGGGAGGCAGCAGUGGGGAAUCUUGCGCAAUGGGCGAAAGCCUGACGCAGCAACGCCGCGUGCGGGAAGAAGGCUUUAGGGUUGUAAACCGCUUUCAGCAGGGAAGAAAAUGACGGUACCUGCAGAAGAAGGUGCGGCCAACUACGUGCCAGCAGCCGCGGUGACACGUAGGCACCAAGCGUUGUCCGGAUUUAUUGGGCGUAAAGAGCUCGUAGGCGGUUCAGUAAGUCGGGUGUGAAAACUCUGGGCUUAACCCAGAGCCGCCACCCGAUACUGCUGUGACUUGAGUCCGGUAGGGGAGCGGGGAAUUCCUGGUGUAGCGGUGAAAUGCGCAGAUAUCAGGAGGAACACCGGUGGCGAAGGCGCCGCUCUGGGCCGAGACUGACGCUGAGGAGCGAAAGCAUGGGUAGCAAACAGGAUUA